rnacentral:rRNA from 1 species
UUGGAGGGCAAGUCUGGUGCCAGCAGCCGCGGUAAUUCCAGCUCCAAUAGCGUAUAUUAAAGUUGUUGCAGUUAAAAAGCUCGUAGUUGAAUUUCGGGGUCAGUAGGCUGGUCGUGCCACAGGUACGUACUGGUCUCACUGAUUCCUCCUUCCUGAUGAACCGUAAUGCCAUUAAUUUGGUGUUGCGGGGAAACUGGACUGUUACUUUGAAAAAAUUAGAGUGUUUAAAGCAGGCUAACGCUUGAAUACAUUAGCAUGGAAUAAUGAAAUAGGACGUUCGAUCCUAUUUUGUUGGUUUCUAGGAUUGACGUAAUGAUUAAUAGGGAUAGUUGGGGGCAUUAGUAUUCAAUUGUCAGAGGUGAAAUUCUUGGAUUUAUUGAAGACUAACUACUGCGAAAGCACUUGCCAAGGAUGUUUUCAUUAAUCAAGAACGAAAGUUAGGGGAUCAAAGACGAUCAGAUACCGUCGUAGUCUUAACCAUAAACUAUGCCGACUAGGGAUCGGAUGAUGUUAAUUUUUUAAUGACUCAUUCGGCACCUUACGGGAAAC